GCUUGUCUCAAAGAUUAAGCCAUGCAUGUCUAUGUAUAAACAAGUAUACUGUGAAACUGCGAAUGGCUCAUUAAAUCAGUUAUAGUUUAUUUGAUAGUACCUUACUACUUGGAUAACCGUGGUAAUUCUAGAGCUAAUACAUGCUAAAAAACCCGACUUCUGGAAGGGUUGUAUUUAUUAGAUACAAAACCAACCCGGGCAACCGGUCCUUUGGUGAUUCAUGAUAACUUUGCGAAUCGCAUAGCUUUAAUGCUGGCGAUGGGUCAUUCAAAUUUCUGCCCUAUCAACUUUCGACGGUAGGAUAGAGGCCUACUGUGGUGAUAACGGGUAACGAAGAAUAAGGGUUCGAUUUCGGAGAGGGAGCCUGAGAAACGGCUACCACAUCCAAGGAAGGCAGCAGG
rnacentral:rRNA from 1 species